GUCACUGUGGACCCCACCCUAGGAAGGAUUCAAUUCAGGGUGGGAUAGCUUUCAACAGAGUUCAUUGCAACCCAUACACUUGCCUCCUUUUCCAGCACCCAUCUCCUUCCGUGCUGUUCCGUCAUGUGUGACAAUUACCACCAGACAGUUCUUACCAGAGAUAGAGCAGCAAGUGCCAUAACAUCUCAGACCUUCUGCCUCCAAGACUACAAGCCACACAAACCUUUCUUCAUGUUGUUUCUUCUAUUGCAGAUGGACUAACAUGCAUGGUUACUACAAGAAAGGUCAUUUGAUUUCAUGGGGCUCUUGGGGCCAUCACAGAGUCUCAGAAUCUGCGUUCUGGAGAAGCUCACCUGUGAUGUAUAAAGGCUCUCUGCUAACAAAAUCGUGUUCACGUUCAAAUCAGAAAGCGGGAUGAUGGACACUGUAAUGCAGCUGUGUGCUCCUUCUCCCUUGUUCUCGAAACAGAAAGAAUCAGUUUUAUUUGGGGCAGUCUGUGCUCUUCUAGAAGCUGUGGUGGCCCCACAGCUAUGACAUAGCUAUUGAAUGCCCUUGUGUUGCUGGUCCUUCGGUGGGAUUCUGUGAGGAGUACAUCCAAAUCUCUGGUUCUCUUUGGGUGUCUCUAUAUUUUCUUUCCUGAUGCCUGAAAUGGGAGUGCAAUGGCUGAGUUCCAGCAACCAUUUUGUGGAGGCUGAAAGCCACAAGGCACACAGAAGAAACCGAAUUGGCUAAGGAUUUCCUGGGACACCGUGCUAUACUGCAAUUUACUCAGGACUUCAAAACCUAUAAGAGCCUUUUGUAUUUUAUGUGGGAAAUUUGAACAACACUUGGUAUUUGAGGCCCUGUCCAUUUUGAUUUUUCAUUGUAAGUAGGUGUGGUGGUAUAUGCCUGUGUUCUUUGCACUUGGGAAGUAAAGACAAGAAAAUGAGGAGCUUAAGGUCAUCCUGUGACCCUCAUAUGCACAUAUAUUUGAAUGUUUGUGCUCCCAGUUGGUAGAACUGUUUGGGAAGGGUUAGCAGGUCUGGCCUUAUUGGAGGAGGUAUGUCACUGGGGGGUGAAAGCCCAUGCCACUCCCAGUUAGCCUUCGUUCUGCCUCCGAGUUACAGGUCAGAAUGUGAGCUCUCAGACACCGCCAUUCCCGCCUGCCAGUUGCCA
rnacentral:lncRNA from 1 species